GUUAAUGUAGCUUAUGUUAAAGCAAAGCACUGAAAAUGCUUAGAUGGAUGCAAGCAUCCCAUAAACA
rnacentral:tRNA from 1 species